rnacentral:rRNA from 1 species
UGGAUUAGGCAUGCAAGUCGAACGAGACUUUUCGUUGUAGCAAUACGAUGGAAAGUUUAGUGGCGAACGGGUGCUUAACACGUGGGCAACCUGCCAGGAAGUGGGGGGUAGCUCGCCGAAAGGCGAAUUAAUACCGCAUGUGAUUAGAGGGGACAUCCUUUCGAAAUUAAAGUCGGGGCAACCUGACGCUUCUUGUGGGGCCCGCGGCCUAUCAGCUAGUUGGUGGGGUAACGGCUCACCAAGGCUUUGACGGGUAGCUGGUCUGAGAGGACGACCAGCCACACUGGGACUGAGACACGGCCCAGACACCUACGGGUGGCAGCAGUCGAGAAUUUUUGACAAUGGGGGAAACCCUGAUCGAGCGACGCCGCGUGGGGGAUGAAUGGCUUCGGCCCGUAAACCCCUGUCAUUCGCGAUCAAACCUUGCUAUUUAAAAGAUGGCGAGCUGAUAGUAGCGGAAGAGGAAGGGACGGCUAACUCUGUGCCAGCAGCCGCGGUAAUA